ACGGGACACGUGAAACCCUGUGGGAAGCAGGAGGGACCACCCUCCAAGGCUAAAUACUACCUAGUGACCGAUAGCGUAUAGUACCGUGAGGGAAAGGUGAAAAGAACCCCGGGAGGGGAGUGAAAUAGAACCUGAAACCCUGCACUUACAAGCUGUGGAAGCACAUUUCUUGUGUGACCGCGUACUUUUUGUAGAACGGGCCAACGAGUUACGUUAAGUAGCAAGGUUAAGCACUUAAGGUGCGGAGCCGUAGCGAAAGCGAGUUUUAACUGAGCGUUCAGUUACUUGACGUAGACCCGAAACCGGGCGACCUACCCAUGAGCAGGAUGAAGCGAAAGUAAAAUUUCGUGGAGGUCCGAACCCACGAGCGUUGAAAAGCUCGGGGAUGACUUGUGGGUAGCGGUGAAAUUCCAAUCGAGCCCGGAGAUAGCUGGUUCUCCCCGAAAUAGCUUUAGGGCUAGCCUCAAGGUGAGAGAUACGGAGGUAGAGCACUGAAUGUCCUAGGGGGUAUUGCACCUACCGAAGACUAUCAAACUCCGAAUGCCGUCAUCUUAUACUUGGGAGUCAGACUGUGGGUGAUAAGAUUCAUAGUCGAAAGGGCAACAGCCCAGAUCGUCAGCUAAGGUCCCUAAAUGUAAGUUAAGUGGUAAAGGAUGUGGGAUUGCACAGACAACCAGGAUGUUGGCUUAGAAGCAGCCACUCAUUCAAAGAGUGCGUAAUAGCUCACUGGUCGAGUGAUCCUGCGCCGAAGAUUUCCGGGGCUAAAACUUACUACCGAAGCUACGGCAUCAGUAAUGAUGGGUAGGGGAGCUUCCCAUACGGGUUGAAGCAUGACCGUAAGGACAUGUGGACAGUAUGGGAGUGAGAAUGUUGGCAUGAGUAGCGAGAUGUGGGUGAGAAUCCCACAGGCCGUAAACCCAAGGUUUCCAGGGGAAGGUUCGUCCGCCCUGGGUUAGUCGGGACCUAAGCUGAGGCCGAAAGGCGUAGGUGAUGGACAACAGGUUGAUAUUCCUGUACUACCGAUAACCGUUUGAGAGAAGGGAUGACACAGUAGGAUAAGCUAAGCACACUGUUGGUUAUGUGUGCCCAAGCAUUGAGGCAGUCAAAGUAGGCAAAUCCGCUUUGAUAAUGCUGGGAUGUGAUGGGGAGCGAAAUUUAGUAGCGAAGUAGCUGAUUUCACACUGUCAAGAAAAGUCUCUAUCGAGGUUAAAGGUACCCGUACCGCAAACCGACACAGGUGGGUGAGGAGAGUAUCCUAAGGCCAGCGAGAGAACUGUUGUUAAGGAACUCGGCAAAAUGACCCCGUAACUUAGGGAUAAGGGGUGCCACCAUCAGGUGGCCGCAGAGAAUAGGCCCAAGCGACUGUUUACCAAAAACAUAGGUUUCUGCUAAGUCGCAAGACGAUGUAUAGGAGCUGACGCCUGCCCGGUGCUGGAAGGUUAAGGGGAUCUGUUAGAGCAAUCGAAGCAGUGAACUUAAGCCCCAGUAAACGGCGGCCGUAACUAUAACGGUCCUAAGGUAGCGAAAUUCCUUGUCGGGUAAGUUCCGACCCGCACGAAAGGCGUAACGAUUUGGGCACUGUCUCAACAACAGACUCGGUGAAAUUGUAAUUCCGGUGAAGAUGCCGGAUACCUGCGACAGGACGGAAAGACCCCAUGGAGCUUUACUGUAGCUUGACAUUGGGUCUUGGUACUACAUGUACAGGAUAGGUGGGAGGCUUUGAAACCAGGACGCCAGUUUUGGCGGAGCCAUCCUUGGGAUACCACCCUUGUAGUACUGGGACUCUAACCAUAGGCCAUGAAUCUGGUCUUGGGACACUGUCAGGUGGGCAGUUUGACUGGGGCGGUCGCCUCCCAAAAGGUAACGGAGGCGCUCAAAGGUUCUCUCAGUACGGUCGGAAAUCGUACGUAGAGUGUAAAGGCAAAAGAGAGCUUGAUUGCAAGACAUACAGGUCGAGCAAGGAUGAAAAUCGGACUUAGUGAUCCGGUGGUUCUGCGUGGAAGGGCCAUCGCUCAACGGAUAAAAGCUACCCUGGGGAUAACAGGCUUAUCUCCCCCAAGAGUCCACAUCGACGGGGAGGUUUGGCACCUCGAUGUCGGCUCAUCACAUCCUGGGGCUGUAGUAGGUCCCAAGGGUUGGGCUGUUCGCCCAUUAAAGUGGUACGCGAGCUGGGUUCAGAACGUCGUGAGACAGUUCGGUCCCUAUCCGUCGCAGGCGUAGGAAAUUUGAGAAGACCUGUCCUUAGUACGAGAGGACCGGGAUGGACGUACCUCUGGUGUACCAGUUGUCCUGCCAAGGGCAUGGCUGGGUAGCUAUGUACGGAAUGGAUAAGCGCUGAAAGCAUCUAAGCGCGAAGCCAACUUCAAGAUAAGAUUUCCCACCGCAAGGGUAAGACCCCAGAAAGACUAUCUGGUUGAUAGGUCGAAGGUGUAAGUGCAGCAAUGUAUUUAGCUUAUCGAUACUAAUAGGUCGAGGACUUGACCAA
rnacentral:rRNA from 1 species